CCCAACUACUGUUCAUCCGUGCCAUUUUUGCAGAAGUGUGCCAGAUGCUUUCUUGAUGUGCCGGGGUCGACCCAAUCAACCUUGGGGUCGACUCAAUCCACACUUUGCUGCAACUCAAGGUUAGAUUCAUCCAUAUAAACAAUGAAAUGCAUCUUUAUCUUAUUAUACGAAUAUACUGAGAGUAACAGACUCAUAAAUGAAGUAUCGAAUUAACUUGUAACAUACUCUUGAUUAUUGUAUUAAUCAUCAAAAUAC
rnacentral:lncRNA from 1 species